ensembl:misc_RNA Metazoa_SRP Metazoan signal recognition particle RNA
GCUGGGCGUGGUAGUGCACGCCUGUAGUACCAGCUACUUGGGAGGCUGAGGUGGGAGGAUCACUUGAGCCUAGGAGUUUAAGGCUGCAGUGAGCUGUGAUUGCACCACAGCACUCCAGCCUGGGCAACAGAGCAAGAUCCCAACUUUU